rnacentral:rRNA from 1 species
AUAUUGCACAAUGGGGGAAACCCUGAUGCAGCGACGCCGCGUGAGCGAAGAAGUAUUUCGGUAUGUAAAGCUCUAUCAGCAGGGAAGAAAAUGACGGUACCUGACUAAGAAGCUCCGGCUAAAUACGUUCCAGCAGCCGCGGUAAUACGUAUGGAGCAAGCGUUAUCCGGAUUUACUGGGUGUAAAGGGAGCGUAGACGGUUUGCCAAGUCUGAUGUGAAAGGUGUGGGCUCAACCCGCAAACUGCAUUGGAAACUGGUAGACUAGAGUGUCGGAGAGGUAAGUGGAAUUCCUAGUGUAGCGGUGAAAUGCGUAGAUAUUAGGAGGAACACCAGCGGCGAAGGCGGCUUACUGGACGAUAACUGACGUUGAGGCUCGAAAGCGUGGGGAGCAAACAGG